CGCGUAGGCGGAUUGUUAAGUCGGGGUGAAAUCCCGGGGCUCAACCCCGGAACUGCCCUCGAUACUGGCAGUCUUGAGUUCGAGAGAGGUGAGUGGAAUUCCGAGUGUAGAGGUGAAAUUCGUAGAUAUUCGGAGGAACACCAGUGGCGAAGGCGGCUCACUGGCUCGAUACUGACGCUGAGGUGCGAAAGCGUGGGGAGCAAACA
rnacentral:rRNA from 1 species